AGCAGCCGCGGUAAUUCCAGCUCCAAUAGCGUAUAUUAAAGUUGUUGCAGUUAAAAAGCUCGUAGUUGAAUUUCGGGAUCAAUACGUCGGUCGUGCUUCGGUACGUACUGGCGUCAUUGGUUUCUCCCUUCUGACGAACCAUGAUGUCAUUAACUUGGUGUCAUGGGAAAUCAGGACUGUUACUUUGAAAAAAUUAGAGUGUUUAAAGCAGGCUCACGCUUGAAUACAUUAGCAUGGAAUAAUGAAAUAGGACGUUCGAUCCUAUUUUGUUGGUUUCUAGGAUUGACGUAAUGAUUAAUAGGGAUAGUUGGGGGCAUUAGUAUUCAAUUGUCAGAGGUGAAAUUCUUGGAUUUAUUGAAGACUAACUACUGCGAAAGCAUUUGCCAAGGAUGUUUUCAUUAAUCAAGAACGAAAGUUGGGGGCUCGAAGACGAUCAGAUACCGUCCUAGUCUCAACCAUAAACGAUGCCGACCAGGGAUCGGCGGAUGUUGCUCUAAGGACUCCGCCAGCACCUUCUG
rnacentral:rRNA from 1 species